AGAGUUUGAUCCUGGCCCAGGACGAACGCUGGCGGUAUGCUUAACACAUGCAAGUCGAACGAGAAGAUCAGUUAAGAACCUUCGGGGGAAUAAGUGAUUGGAAAGUGGCGAACGGGUGAGUAACGCGUGGGUAACCUGCCCUAUGGAAAGGAAUAGCCUCGGGAAACUGGGAGUAAAGCCUUAUAUUAUGGAGAGAUCGCAUGGUCAUUUCAUGAAAACUCCGGUGCCAUAGGAUGGACCCGCGUCCCAUUAGCUAGUUGGUGAGAUAACAGCCCACCAAGGCGACGAUGGGUAACCGGUCUGAGAGGGCGAACGGUCACACUGGAACUGAGACACGGUCCAGACUCCUACGGGAGGCAGCAGUGGGGAAUAUUGCGCAAUGGGGGCAACCCUGACGCAGCAAUACCGCGUGAGUGAAGAAGGUUUUCGGAUCGUAAAGCUCUGUUAUUGGGGAAGAAAACAUGACGGUACCCAAUGAGGAAGUCCCGGCUAACUACGUGCCAGCAGCCGCGGUAAUACGUAGGGGACAAGCGUUGUCCGGAAUGACUGGGCGUAAAGGGCGCGUAGGCGGUCUGAUAAGUCAGAUGUGAAAGGUACCGGCUCAACCGGUGACGUGCAUUUGAAACUGUCAGACUUGAGUAUUGGAGAGGCAAGUGGAAUUCCUAGUGUAGCGGUGAAAUGCGUAGAUAUUAGGAGGAACACCAGUGGCGANNNGGCUUGCUGGACAAAUACUGACGCUGAGGUGCGAAAGCGUGGGGAGCGAACAGGAUUAGAUACCCUGGNAGUCCACGCCAUAAACGAUGAAUGCUAGGUGUUGGGGAAACUCAGUGCCGCANUUNACACANUAAGCAUUCCNCCNGGGAGUACGACCGCAGGUUGAAACUCAAAGGAAUUUGACGGGGACCCGCACAGCACGGAAGCAUGGUGGUUAAUUCAAAGCACGCGAGACCUUACCAGGUCUUGACUCCUCUGACAUCCAGAGAUGG
rnacentral:rRNA from 1 species